rnacentral:lncRNA from 1 species
ACAGCUUCUAGGAGAAUAGGGUCUCAAAUGUUAUUUGGCUUCUAAAGCACUAUUCUAGCACUAACUAAAAAUAACCUUUCACGCAGGACAGUGUGAUCUCAGACCCAUUCUCUCCUGCAUCACUGAAGAGCUGAAAUCAGUGGAGCUGCAGUAUUCAGGUUGUCCUAGGACCCAGCCCCCUGUCCCGUGCCGCUGAGAGGACGUGAGUUAACGCCGUCUUCCUGUGCCCUGGAAUGAACCGUGAGCUAUUGAAAUGUCAGACAUGCUUUUUGACACCAGGACUCAUUGCUUCCUCUUUUCUACACAAGUCAACCUCCCUCGUCCUCCCUUUGGCCAUUAAAGCUGUCAGCUAUGCAGAAACCAUAAUAUGAACAGAGAUCUAACAAUUACACCCCUCAGCAUCCCAGCUAGGUAAGUAAAUAGCUUAUCUAAACUGUUAGUUCAAC